UGAACCCUGGUCGUCGCGCUGUG
rnacentral:miRNA from 1 species